GGAGGAAAGCAGGGGAUCGCAAGACCUUGCGCUUUUGGAGCGGCCGAUGCCUGAUUAGCUAGUUGGUAGGGUAAAGGCCUACCAAGGCGUCGAUCAGUAGUUGGUCUGAGAGGACGACCAGCCACACUGGGACUGAGACACGGCCCAGACUCCUACGGGAGGCAGCAGUGGGGAAUUUUGGACAAUGGGCGCAAGCCUGAUCCAGCAAUGCCGCGUGAGUGAAGAAGGCCUUCGGGUUGUAAAGCUCUUUCAGUCGAGAAGAAAAGAUUACGACUAAUAAUCGUAAUUCAUGACGGUACCGACAGAAGAAGCACCGGCUAACUACGUGCCAGCAGCCGCGGUAAUACGUAGGGUGCGAGCGUUAAUCGGAAUUACUGGGCGUAAAGGGUGCGCAGGCGGCCUUGUAAGUCAGAUGUGAAAUCCCCGGGCUUAACCUGGGAACUGCGUUUGAAACUACAAGGCUA
rnacentral:rRNA from 1 species